rnacentral:lncRNA from 1 species
ACCCCCAAUUAAUAUUCUCUCUCCCUUCUCUCUUUCUCUCUAACUUCUCUCUCCCCGUUUUUCACUCAUAUCUCAGACGCUUAGAACCCUAAUCAGUCGAAGCUAGCUGCUCUGAAAUCUCUUGCUCGACCUAAUUAAUCUCUUGCUCGACCUAAUUAAAUACUGUAGUUGAUGCUCUUAUGCUGCUAUUAAAGAUUUUAUAUAUGCUGCUCUCAAAAAGCGCUGCCUAGCGUAUUGUUGUUGCUUCGAAGAAACCCUAAUUCUCUCCAUAGGUAAUAAUUAGGUCUCUUGUUGUUUCUCUCUCGCUGUUUCUCUCUUGCACGUCUAAUUUUGUUGCAAUGAUGAAUUUCGUUGGUGUUGUAUGAUUGAUUUUGUGUAUGUGAUUGAUGGGUGGUAAAUUAGGGCUUGUGAAUUUAAUUGUAUUUCGAUAAAGAUAACUUUCUCGAUUUUAAUAUGAUAUUAGUUGUAAACUCGAGUAUGUUCUUUAGAACUUGUUGUUUAGCACUAAAGUUUUGAUUAUUAAGUGUUUGAUCUUGUAAAAAUUGAAAUAUUUUUGGGAAAAUGCAGGGGGUUGAGCUUUAUGUCUGUUCAUCAGUUCAAGAUGUGGUGGAUGAUGCAGAGAAUGGGGACUCGCUGGUUGGAUCGGAUUUCACGAGGUGUAUGCUGGCCAAAGAACCAAGUAAGCUAGUUAUAUUUCUCCUUAUGUGCAGUUCAAAAUAAUAGUAUAGGAACCAGAUAAUUAUAAUAGUUAUCGGAGAUUAUUAAUUAGUUGAGAAAAACAGAAGUUCAUAUAACUACAAUAAGGGGGCAAGGAUCCUUGUAAAGUCAUCGGAAUGAGGUUAUUAAUAUUUAUCGGAGGUGUAUUUCUUGGGCUAGUGUAUUUUUGUUAUGAAAUAUUUAUUAUGAAAUGUUUGCUUUGGGUGAAGGUGGUUUCUGUCAAAGUACUACUUCUGAAUGUUUGUAUCUCUGCUAUUAGAGUAUUAGGCAGAAAUGGUUUUAGUAAAAGAUGAGUACAUGACCUUAGUUCUUAUUUUUAGCCAGUAGUGUAUAACAUACAAGCAGAUCCUGUCUAUGUUCUGUGUAAAUACAUCUCUUGUAUAAGUCCUGUUUUUUCAAGUUAUAGCAAAGGAUGGAUUCUUUGUUUUAACUUAACAUUGCUGAUGAAUAAAAUUUACCAAGUUAUAGCUUUAUAAUAUAAUUCCUUUUAUUUAUCAACAGCUGGCUUCUCAUUUUCUACUACAUCUCUCUGCCAGUAGACUUUGCUUCAGGUCAGAAGAAAGCAGUACUGCAUUUUAUUUUACAAUUUCUUUAGUGUGUACAUCUGUAACAUUGUCAUCCUUUUCUAAAUCUAGUUCAGUUCCUGGCUCAUCGGGAGUUUCAUGUUUGCAAAUGUAUGAAUGAUUGGUGGAAUAUAUUUGGAGUGGAUACCCCAAAUCUGGGUAGUGUUAUAGUUCCAGUGCCUCUGCAUCUGCUCUAACGUUCCUAUUAUUUUGUUGGUUAGCUGAAGUAAAAUAUAUCAUCUGGUUUUUACAUUUUAUGUACAUUUUGGAAUGUGGAGCAGGAAUUUUGUUACUUUUACUCCCUUCUUCCUGUCUCGUUCUUUCGUUGCUGCACCUGGCUCCCUCUCCAAGUUUAGAAGUUAAAAGAAGAAUAAAUCUUCAUUUUCUGGUUUGGUCAUUUUAAAGAUGCAAAUAUUUAUGUUCAUGCAAAUUUUAAAGUACAAUGACAAACUUUACAUUCCUGGCUAGUUUCUAUAAAUUUAUCUAUUACAUUUAUUUACUAGUUUGCUUCCUGAGAAAAAGAAUGAUAAUUUUGUGUUAUAUGUGUGGUCAUGCUGAAGUUUAGUAUGAUUUUAUGCCAACCCACCUUAUUGUGUGGUUAUAUGUUGGAAUUUUUCAGCUGGUGUAUGGUAUCAGUUUAAUCUUUUAUAAUUUCAAAUGUAUUUCUGUGUAAAACUUGUCAAAUGUGUGGUUAUGCAGGCUUACAGAGUACCCAGCAGUAGAUUGACCCUAUUGUUCUAGUAUGUUAUAGUGCAUCGUACUGUUCUCCCUUUGAUUAUCAAAUGUUACAUAUCAGGAAGAUUCAGAUGUUCUAUCAUCAGUAUAUGUUGCUCUAGAUUUCAUUCACCCUACUCUACUGGUAAUGGCUAAUAGUGGCAUGCCGAAGAAGCUCUAUAAUGAAGAGAUACGUAUCUAUGCUCAUAUAUUACAGUUUGUAGUAAUCUGAAACUGGUGCCUUUACUUGUGGUUAUGAGCGAAUGUUUUAGCGAAAUCUUGACAUAUUAUAUUUAGAGUUUAGAAUUUCUGCAAGAAAAAGCCUUUACACAUCCAGUCUAAUAUUUAUUGUUUAUUGAUUCAGGAAGCAGCAGCACUAGCUAGCAGCAAGUGAUGUUUUAUUUAUGGUGCAGACAAGCCAGCACAGGGAUUUGCAAGUAACAAUAGAAGAUGGGACUCCAAUUAUACCAGCACCUGCAAUAUUAUUUUAGUAUUUUCUUAAUUGAGCAUGAGUUUGAUAGCAAAUUUAGUUAACAACUGGUUGCAAUAUUGCUUGGUUGUGUUUUGUCGAUGAACGGCUAUAUUAUUGUAGUUUGGAGUUUUUCGAUGACUUUAGAUUGCGGUAGUUUGGCCUUUGGUAUAUUGAUUGUAUAUGGUUGAAUGUUAAAUAUUGGUAUUGCGGUUUCUAUCUAUGAAUGUGGAUAGUAUUUUGGG